CGCAUCUGUGCAUGCAGCAUAUCAAUAAGCGGAGGAAAAGAAACUAACAAGGAUUCCCUUAGUAACGGCGAGUGAAGCGGGAAGAGCUCAAAUUUGAAAUCUUCAAGGUUUUACCUUGACGAAUUGUAGUUUAAAGAAGUGUUUUCUGUUGAAGUUUUGGUAAAAGUUCUUUGGAAUAGGACAUCAUAGAGGGUGAGAAUCCCGUAUUUGACCAUUAUUUUCAGCCGUGUGAUACACUUUCAAAGAGUCGGAUUGUUCGGGAAUGCAGUCCAAAAUGGGUGGUAAAUUUCAUCUAAAGCUAAAUAUUGGCGAGAGACCGAUAGCGAACAAGUACCGUGAGGGAAAGAUUAAAAGAACUUUGAAAAGAGAGUUAAACAGUACGUGAAAUUGUCAAAAGGGAAGCGUUUGACACCAGUGUUGUUUUCUCGAAAAUCAAUUAAAAAGAGUUUGAUUUUGUUGUGUAUUGACCUUAACAGCUUGCAUUUCAAUUUUCUUGCUUUUUUUAAUGCACUUUUCGUUUAACAAGUCAACAUCAGUUUCUUUUGUUGUAAAAAGGUCAUUGGAAGGUGGCUUUCUUUUCGGAGAAAGUGUUUAUAGCCUUUGACUCCUGCAAUCGGAGAGACUGAGGUCUGCAGCGUAGAUCCUUCGGGGUUAGAUACAUUUGUGCUAAGCUACAGCUUUUCAUAGACAACUUGUUGACUAUGAUUUAGUCUUGUGGACUUACCUCGCUUAUGCUAUUUUACCUACGCUUAGGAUGUUGACGCGCGUGUGUGCGUGAUCUAUACAUGACUCUGUGCAUAUCAAUAAGCGGAGGAAAAGAGGGCUAUUACCUACGCUUAGGAUGUUGAAGCCAUCGUACCGCAUCUGUGCAUGCAGCAUAUCAAUAAGCGGAGGAAAAGAGGGCUAUUACCUACGCUUAGGAUGUUGACGCGCGUGUGUGCGUG
rnacentral:rRNA from 1 species